ensembl:lncRNA
UUGGUUUUGGAGAGGUAGCCGUUCUGCAGGAUUUUGUUCCAGCCCUAAUCUUAACAUAGCCUUUCGCAAAUCUAAAUUAGCAAGACAGCACAAACAGAUCUGGGACCAGGCUAGCUCUAACACACUCUAAUUUACUGAUCAGCACAAACUAAUCUGGGACCAGGCUAGCUCUAACACACUCUAAUCUACUGAUCAGCACAAACUGAUCUGGGACCAGAAUAGCUCUAACACACUCUAAUCUACUGAUCAGCACAAACUAAUCUGGGACCAGGCUAGCAAAAGCCUGCCACACAGUAUCUCUUCAGGCGGCGGUUUUGACCACCUCUUGCCUUACUGUAGGACUUCCUGAAAUAGGUUUCAAGGUUUCAUACGAGUUCACAUGGGGACAUUCGUCACAUGAUGCAUUCUGAAAAUUGUACAAACAAUGCGUUAAUCCACAUCAGAUUAAAAUCCCAAAAGAUACAUUUUCGCAAAAAUGUAAUGAUCUAUUCCAGAGUAUUGAUUAUUGAGUAUUGAUUAUUGACUCUUUAGAGGGUUUAAGAACACAUUUUAAUCCGUUUUAUUAGAAUUGAUCAGACCGAAUAUUGAACAGUGACUUUGGGAUCAUGGGUAGUAUUAUCAUGAAGCACUUUUGUGUUGUGCCAAAAAAUUAAUAAA